rnacentral:rRNA from 2 species
AGAGUUUGAUCCUGGCUCAGGAUGAACGCUGGCGGCGUGCCUAAUACAUGCAAGUCGAGCGAACGGACGAGAAGCUUGCUUCUCUGAUGUUAGCGGCGGACGGGUGAGUAACACGUGGAUAACCUACCUAUAAGACUGGGAUAACUUCGGGAAACCGGAGCUAAUACCGGAUAAUAUUUUGAACCGCAUGGUUCAAAAGUGAAAGACGGUCUUGCUGUCACUUAUAGAUGGAUCCGCGCUGCAUUAGCUAGUUGGUAAGGUAACGGCUUACCAAGGCAACGAUGCAUAGCCGACCUGAGAGGGUGAUCGGCCACACUGGAACUGAGACACGGUCCAGACUCCUACGGGAGGCAGCAGUAGGGAAUCUUCCGCAAUGGGCGAAAGCCUGACGGAGCAACGCCGCGUGAGUGAUGAAGGUCUUCGGAUCGUAAAACUCUGUUAUUAGGGAAGAACAUAUGUGUAAGUAACUGUGCACAUCUUGACGGUACCUAAUCAGAAAGCCACGGCUAACUACGUGCCAGCAGCCGCGGUAAUACGUAGGUGGCAAGCGUUAUCCGGAAUUAUUGGGCGUAAAGCGCGCGUAGGCGGUUUUUUAAGUCUGAUGUGAAAGCCCACGGCUCAACCGUGGAGGGUCAUUGGAAACUGGAAAACUUGAGUGCAGAAGAGGAAAGUGGAAUUCCAUGUGUAGCGGUGAAAUGCGCAGAGAUAUGGAGGAACACCAGUGGCGAAGGCGACUUUCUGGUCUGUAACUGACGCUGAUGUGCGAAAGCGUGGGGAUCAAACAGGAUUAGAUACCCUGGUAGUCCACGCCGUAAACGAUGAGUGCUAAGUGUUAGGGGGUUUCCGCCCCUUAGUGCUGCAGCUAACGCAUUAAGCACUCCGCCUGGGGAGUACGACCGCAAGGUUGAAACUCAAAGGAAUUGACGGGGACCCGCACAAGCGGUGGAGCAUGUGGUUUAAUUCGAAGCAACGCGA